rnacentral:rRNA from 1 species
GCGUGUGUACAAGACCCGGGAACCGUAUUCACCGCAGCGUUGCUGAUCUGCGAUUACUAGCGACUCCGACUUCAUGAGGUCGAGUUGCAGACCUCAAUCCGAACUGAGACCGGCUUUUUGGGAUUCGCUCCACCUUACGGUAUCGCAGCCCUUUGUACCGGCCAUUGUAGCAUGCGUGAAGCCCAAGACAUAAGGGGCAUGAUGAUUUGACGUCAUCCCCACCUUCCUCCGAGUUGACCCCGGCAGUCUCCUAUGAGUUCCCAGCCAUCACGCGCUGGCAACAUAGAACGAGGGUUGCGCUCGUUGCGGGACUUAACCCAACAUCUCACGACACGAGCUGACGACAGCCAUGCAGCACCUGUGUUGCCGCUCCCUUUCGGGCACGUCCACCUCUCAGCGGGCUUCGACACAUGUCAAGGGUAGGUAAGGUUCUUCGCGUU